GUACCUUGACCUCGUGCCGAUCCUGGAGGUCCGACGUGAACAGGCGGAGUUUUCUGUUGGUGGCGGCCGUGCAAAAUCUGCAAAGACACGGAAGCCAGCGUGUGAAAACAAAGCAAAAAAAUGCAAAAAGGGAUCUCUUACAUUGGAUCUCAUUGUGUAUUCUUCAAAAAUAAAAAUGAGUCACGCGCCUCCCCCACCCUCGUCUCUCACACUACCUCCGAGGCCCCCGCCUGAGUGGUUUCCUGGCAGCUUACGUGCGACGAUGGAACCCGAGCGUCGAGUCAUCGGCGCAACAACACGCGCGCACGUCACAACGCCUGGCCGCGACUCGGCCCGCGGGUUGGCCCGCGGCGGCGCGAGCGCCACGGGGCCUCGCCAUUACGCAACGACGACACUCCGAUGCCGGCACCCUCCGACCCGGCUAGCCGAUUAGCGGCAGGGAAACUGCUGCUGUCUAACAACUGCGUCGAUAGGAGUGUAAAAAGGGGUACACCCUUUUUAGUGACCAAAUCGCUACGUGGGCAACACUGGCUCCUCUCUCCUCGUAGCCAUGUUGUUGUGUGCCAACGACCCACCUGGAAGAGGCAGGUGCCCACCACCACGCAC